AGAGCGAACGCUGGCGGCAGGCUUAACACAUGCAAGUCGAGCGGGCGUAGCAAUACGUCAGCGGCAGACGGGUGAGUAACGCGUGGGAACGUACCUUUUGGCUCGGAACAACACAGGGAAACUUGUGCUAAUACCGGAUAAGCCCUUACGGGGAAAGAUUUAUCGCCAAAAGAUCGGCCCGCGUCUGAUUAGCUAGUUGGUGAGGUAACGGCUCACCAAGGCGACGAUCAGUAGCUGGUCUGAGAGGAUGAUCAGCCACAUUGGGACUGAGACACGGCCCAAACUCCUACGGGAGGCAGCAGUGGGGAAUAUUGGACAAUGGGCGCAAGCCUGAUCCAGCCAUGCCGCGUGAGUGAUGAAGGCCCUAGGGUUGUAAAGCUCUUUUGUGCGGGAAGAGUAAUGACGGUACCGCAAGAAUAAGCCCCGGCUAACUUCGUGCCAGCAGCCGC
rnacentral:rRNA from 1 species